rnacentral:rRNA from 1 species
ACGGGGGGGCACAAGCGGUGGAGCAUGUGGUUUAAUUCGAUGCAAAGCGAAAAACCUCACCAAGGCUUGACAUGCAAGUGCAAAUCCGAUGAAAGUCGGACCCUCCCGCAAGGGACGCUUGUGCAGGUGUUGCAUGGCUGUCGUCAGCUCGUGCCGUGAGGUGUUCCCUUAAGUGGGGAAACGAGUGCAACCCCUAUUCUGUGUUAAAUAUUCACAGAAGACUGCCCUGUUUUUGCAGGGAGGAAGGAGGGGCGGACGUCAAGUCAGCAUGACCCUUAUGCCUUGGGCUACACACACCCUACAAUGGCGAAUAACAACGAGAUGCAAACUCGCGAGAGUAAGCAAAUCUCUUAAAUUUCGCCUCAGUUCAGAUUGGAGUCUGCAAUUCGACUCCAUAAAGUCGGAAUUGGUAGUAAUCGCGAAUCAGAAGGUCGCGGUGAAUACGUUCCCGG